GCCCGUAUUCACCAACCACCUAAGGGAAAAAAAUUACCUAAGGUUGUCAUUUUGCCUUAGGUUUUUGCUGUUUUUCCCUUAAAUUUAAGGAAAUGCCUUAAGUCAUAUUCACAAACUUCCUAACCUUAGAAAUACGCCUAAGGUUGACCGUUUUUUCCCUUAAAGUUAAGGGACGUGUACACCUCCCUUAAGUCCAAAGAAAUCACCUUAAAAAUGGCGCCGUAGCAGACGAAUUUCCGUUGUUUUCGCCUUUUUUUUGAGCAAACUCCAUCCCAAAGGUAUGUAUUCUUUGAAAUGUAUCACCGUUCUAAACACAGACCGAUAUGUAUUCCAAUUACUUUCAGAGUCCGGCUUUUAAACAGUAUAACGGAAGUAACAUUGUUGUUAACUUACGCGAAUUUUGUGAUUACCAUAAUAAUUGCAUUUUUGUAUCAUUUAACGUCAUUUUCAGUGCAUGCAUCAUAUGUUUGAAGAAAUGGAAGGGAUAUGAGUUUAAAGUGGCAAUAUGAACUUGAAACUGGGAUGUGUUUACAUAUCUGUCAUUGUGGUUAUACUGUAUCGCAUGUCAGAUUGUGUUUACCUUUCCCUUUUGCAAUGUACGAAUGUGUGUUACUGUAUCAUCUCGGAAUUAUUAAGUUUCCAAAUGUAAUUGGCGUUAUCGAUGGGACGCAUGUCCAGAUUCAAGCCCCAGUUGUUGAUGAACCGGCGUAUGUGAAUCGGAUGGGUUACCAUUCCAUAAACACACAGAUCAUGUUUGAUGCCAAUUGUCUGAUUAGAGACAUUGUACCGCUGUGGCCUGGGGCUGUCCAUGAUGCCAGAAUCUUAAGGCAAAGUGGCCUAUUUCAAAUCAUGGAGCAGAAUGUUGUCGAUGACCAACAUCAAUAUCUACUUGGGGAUUCGGGAUAUCCGUGCAAGAGAUGGCUCCUCACUCCAUUUAUGAA